UUGGGUGAUGGUGCGACGUUCUCAAAUCUUGUUCUUUUGUGUAACCUUCUUCUUCAUUGUGCUUUGUUCCCCUAUUUUGGAGGCUAGAACAGCUUUGGGUAUUAGUUUUUUUUUUCUUUCUAUUUUGGGUUUUAGUUUUAAGUUUGGUAUUUUUGGGUUUAGAACAUUACUAAUUUCUGUAGUGAUCCAAAUUAUUUUUUUAUUUUAUUUAUUUAAUUAUUAUGUUUUAGUUAAUUGUUUAAUUUUCAGAAAAUAAUUGAAAUGUUUGUUUUGUGUGAAUUAGGAUUUAAUUGAUUUUUUGAAAUAAUUGUGUGAUGUUUGUUUAAUUAUUAGUGUUACAUUUUUUUUUAAGUGUGACAACAUUAUGCGAUUAGAAUAUGUUGCAUUUUUAUUUAUUUAGAGUGUGUUUGUGGGUGCCGAAAUUGUGUGUAUGUGUGUGGACUUGUUUUAUUUUUAUUUCAUUUAAUUUAAGAAAAUAAAAGGAAAAAGGAAAUGGGUUGUCAUCUUUUGGGAUAAGAUGACAAGACUUAUCUUUUGGGUUGUGUUUAUAUUUAGACAAGGUUUAGAUAAGGUGUAAAGAGAGAAAAUUGUGGAAUUUAGCUUAAUUUGUGGGAUAAGAUUUGAGCUUUUCACACUUGGCUUUUUUCUUAGGGUUAGGUCACUAGGGUACUGUAAAUAGAAGACAUGUGAGCCUUGAGAAUACUUGUGUGUGGCUGCCAAAAUUUGGAGAUAAAAAUAGAAAAGGGAGCACGAAAAAGAGAGAAAGAAAGAAGGAAAUGAGGAAAAGAGGAAAGGGUUUCCAAGAUCUCUAGGCUGAGAAGAUGAUUGCUUACGCUUGACGAUGGUCAAAAGAAUAAAAAAUAUAUUUUUUACACGUGACAUUGAGUUGACAUAAAUGAUGGUUGUGUUUCAGGUAUGGCGACAGUAUCUAACGGAAAAACGUGAGAUAUACAUUGGCAUAAUUAGUUUAAAGUGUUGGUUACCUGUAACGCCUUGGAUAACCAAGACCGUUACAUUGUGUAUUUGAAAUAGUGCAAGACUUGCUAAUCAAUUCAAAUACAUAGUGUAACGGUGUUGGUUAUCCAGGGCUUAUAACUUGGUAUCAGAGCGGUCUAAGUUUAAGGGUUCCUAAAGACUGGUUGGGCAUGUACACUCGCCGCUAAAGACAAGCCCGACUCAAGGAGAUCAUUUUUUCAGAGCGAUACUUUUUCAGUGAUAGAAAACAGAUUGUGAAAUCUCCCUGAGAGAAAUAGAACAGUGAUACAAGCAUAGGUCACUGCUCUUCACAAACUUAUGUCCAAACUUUAUCAGAUCUCAUGUGUUGAGAACAUCUGAUAAAUAGAUUUUGCCUAUUGUUUUGUAUAGCGAGCCCACAGUCGUUCUUUGUGUGUUGAGAACAUUUUGGAAGAUCUUGGUGUGAGAUCUCAAGGAUUUUUGCCGUACAAAAAGAUAGCAGCAAGGAAGGACUUGAGGUUUAUCGCCUAAGCUCGGGACUGAGGAUCGUGCUCGAGACCAUUUUGUGUUCUUCGCUCGGGAUUCGAGGUGUUUAACAAGGUGAUGGGGCCUGCGGCUUGGGUCGUGUGACAGGGAGGCUCGACUCUUGGGUCUACGGCGUGGCUGUCUUCCUCCGUCUCAUCUACCACAACUUCCCUUCCCAUGUUUCGCCGACUCCGACGGAGAUUGACUUGCAGAGCAAUGGUCCAGCAGGCUGUACAGGGAGGAGCUCCAGCUGCUUACGCCCAAGAAAUGGAGAGGCUAACCGCUAAAGAAUCCCAUCUUCUUGCUUUUAAGGAUUCUGGGGGGUUUUUCCAAGCUUCAAUUUUUAUGGGAUUUUUACUUGUUCAAGCUAAUCAGGUCGCCAUUCUUGGAGGGUCGGUGGGAUUUUUUUCAGGGCUGAUGUCUUCCACGCAGUAGUUGAGUCCAUGCAACGAGGCGAUCCAGCUUGGGUUGGUUAUAUAUAUGCCUUCUUAAUCUUUUCUGGAGUGCCUUAUGUUGACUAGUUCAAAUGGGAUGGUGCUAAACAUCCCCUUUCAAAUGCACCUGAACCCAAGAGAUGCUUCACUCGUUCAAAGAGCGAAGAUAAAAUGGUUGUUCGCUAUUGUCGGGCUAUUCGUAAGGGGUUGAUUAAAUUUGAUGAGCCUAAAGAAGAACCAUCUGUCUACCUCUUGUGGGGAGAUGAAUCCAACUCUAACGAAAAGUCUGGGCAUUUAUCUUAUAUUCCUGCGCUGAAGCCGAAAUUGCCAGGGGAUGCUCAACCAGUGAAAUGGGCCAUGAGAUUGAGGGUGGCUUUGCAUUUGACACAAGCUCUGGAGUACUGUAGCAGCAAAGGGCGUGCAUUGUAUCACGAUCUCAAUGCCUACAGGGUUUUAUUUGAUCAGGAGACCAACUAUGUUCCAAUUACGAGAGGAAACAGAGUUGUCCUAAUGAUUAACGGGUAGUCAUCCACCACCCAAGAUUCCUGUUCCAGUCCCUCCAUCUCGUUCUACAAAGAGUGAUGAGGGUUGCCUACAAAAUAAUGACAACUCUGGAAUGGACUCUUUUUCCUUGGAUACAUAUUUGAAACCAAGUAUGCCUCUCUUUCCGUCCACAUAUUAAAAGGAACUUGUUACUGCUUGGGUUGUCAUCUUGGCUUGCCUUGUCCAUGGUUUUGUUACAGUCUUAGUUGCUAGUGAAGCUCAUGCAAUAACUCUGGCUGUUGAGGGUUUGUUAGGAGUUGUGUUUAGAGUGGCUGCAUUAACAGAUGAAGCAAUGAAUGUUGGUGAGGUUCAGAUCACUUCCAGGACUUGUCAUGUCAACCAGACCCAAAGGGAUAUCAUAGAAUGUGAGAAUUUUGUCUUCUAGACAAGUGCACAAAGGAUGAUGAAUUGAAGGAUGGAGCAAGUUUCAUGCAUGAUUUACUUUUGUGUAUCUUCUAAUGUUUUUGUUUUUCAUUUUUGAAGUAAAAAAUGUUCAAGAAACUUUAUUAUGUUAAGCUUUCAAACUUAAGUUAGAACUAAGAUUUCAUGAAAUAGACACAUUCAUAGUUUGAAUUAGUUAUUGUUUAAUGUAAUACUUAUGGUUUAUCAAUAUAUUGAGAAUU